AAUGAACGCUGGCGGCGUGCUUAACACAUGCAAGUCGUGCGCGAAGGCGGCUUCGGCUGCCGGAGAGCGGCGAACGGGUGAGUAACACGUGGGUAAUCUACCUGGGAGUGGGGGAUAACCUGGGGAAACUCGGGCUAAGACCGCAUACGAUGCUGGGACUUCGGUCCUGUUCUGAAAGCUGGCCUCUGCUUGCAAGCUAGCGCUCCCAGAGGAGCCCGCGGCNGAUUAGCUGGUUGGUGGGGUAAUGGCCUACCAAGGCGACGAUCAGUAGCCGGCCUGAGAGGGUGAUCGGCCACACUGGAACUGAGACACGGUCCAGACUCCUACGGGAGGCAGCAGUGGGAAUAUUGGAC
rnacentral:rRNA from 1 species